AUUUUUAUCAAGUUCCCAAUCGUUAGUAUGAGGCAAAUCUAGGAAGUAUUGCUUAAGACAACAGGGAAAACUAAACAGCAAAAUGUUAGGCUUCAAUCAUCUCCUGACUGAAAAUAUUUUGAGCUGGGUAGUAAUGCAUUUAUUUAGAUAGAAUCAUCAGGCAUAAAGUGUUUUUGGUUUGUUCUUUUUUUGGCAGGGGGUAGUCAGGUAUAGAGUCAGGUGUGCAAGAAAAAAAAUUAGUAACCUGUUAAAAUAUUCCAAGCAAGAAGAGCACCUGGGCCAGGAUGGUGCCAGUAGGGAUGGGAAGGAAAGAAUUCAAGCAACCACUUAAUGAUUGUCAGUUAUGGUCAGAUCUGUGGCCGCUGAGGGUGCAGAGAUGAAUGUGAUAUAGUUUCUCCUCAGUGAGCCUAUAGCCAACUCAACGGUAAUGAGAAACAUUAGAAGUAAGAAUCAAUCAGACGAGGCUUCUCGUUGGAAAUGGGGACAGACCCUUGAUCUACAUGUCAUUUAUAAUUAUAAAACUUACAAAAAUAGGAAUGGGUUCAUCCAUAAUUCUAAAGCGAACUUUUUUGUUUUUUACAUACUAAAGGAUUCAGCAACAAUUACUUAGUGGGUAUUUGGCUGGCAAAAGCAAUUUACUAAAUCCUAGGCAAGAUUGACUUAUAGGCCAGCAGUAGUUGGCCUAGAGCAUCCUUUCUAAUGCAUUUCCCUAACAUAUAUUGCUCUCCACUCAAAUUCAAGGGUGACCAUUAUCCAGUUGGAGAUUUGUCCAAGAGAUUUGCUUUUUUUUCUUUUCUGUUUAUUCAUUUACUCACUCAGAUAAUCUCUUCUUUCAUGCUGACUGACUCUGGGACCUUUCAGUGUGCAUUACCAUUUCCACCAAAGGCUGCCGGGGCUAAUAAAAGGUAAAACUCAGACCAGCCUUAGAUUAUUGGUCUGUUUUGAUGAGAUAUUUAGGAGAAAAAGUGGACUCAGAAUUUGAAGGAUGAUGGAUUUCCUGUGAGCCAGGCAUUGGCCUAACAACCUAAGUCAAUAAUUCUUGGGAAAAUAGAGAUACAGGCAAGUUAGGGGAAGCCUCUAAAUUUAAAUUAGAGAAGGGUAUUCAGGUUUCUAGGUAGCAUGAAUUAGACAAAAAAUCGUCUCUUUGAAUGCACUAGAGAGCUGCUGAAACAACAAUGGCUAGAGAUACUAAAAUCAUAGAGCAAGGGGAAGCCUCCAAGAAGUGAACUAAAUUCUGCUAAUGGUGUUUCUCUGGGGCAGGAGGCUGGGAAGUCCAGGCUUCACCAACAAGAGGGGAAGCAUACAGAGAGCCCAGCAGACCCGCUACAAUCUCUCAAGGCUGGAGUGGCAAAAUUAGAGACUUCAGGAGCCUCACUCACAAUUUCCCUCAAGAUGUUGGUCAAAUGUUGAGGCUGUACAGCAUGGGAGGCUAAAAAGUUAUGCUAAAAACCUCUGUUUAAGAAAGUGAAAACAAUCAAUUUUGUGUGUAUUUUACCACAGUUAAAAAAAAUUUUUUUUGAACAGUUUUCAACAGAAUCACUAUGCUAACUGGGACAACAAUAAAGUUCAGAAACUACCACAGGAAGGUGCCCUGGUGAACACCCGAGACUCUUAGUUGAAAGACCUGGAGGACUAUGAUGUAGGAAUGGGCUAAACAGAGGCAGGCUUUGCCGUACCAGCUCUGCAACCCAGCCUCCACCUCAG
ensembl:lncRNA